CACGCCUCUUUUUUAGCUUCAGAUAUUGGCCUCUGAGGUUCCGACACCGGGAAAGAGCAUAUGGCACGGAAGCCGCCACCCGAGCCUGCCUCGGUUCCCCGCAGGCUCCGGCCGCUGAUCGUCGUGGAGAAUCCGAAGCCGAAGCCAGGAUCCCGUUGCGCCGAGGCGUCCGGAGAAACGGCGGCGGAGUGCGCAGCCAUCUUCUGCUGCUGCCCCUGCGGCCUGGCGAAACUCCUAGUUUUCGCGGUAAUCAAGCUGCCGGAGGGGCUCGUACGGAAGGCCCUGCGACGGAGGAGGAAGCGGAAGAAGAAAUCCACCGGGAUCUGGCGGCCCAAAUACGGCGCCUUGGACGAUGACGACGACUUCAGCGUUCACGGAGGGUUCCUUUUGGCGGCGGCAAGGGCCGAGGAGGCGUGGCCCGCGAAGACGCCGUCUCAGGAGCUGCUGGAGUUGGAGAAGGAGAUGCGGGCGAAGUUUUACGGCGCCGGAUUUUGGCGAAGCGGUUCGCAGAAGGAGUAGAGGCAGCCCUCUUGGCAUUCCGGUGAGAAGGGAAAUGGCUUUUCUCGUGGUAGAAGAGAAGAGAACUGGUCCAAGGUGGGAUCUUUUCCAUUGCUCUGCUGCUGCUUCGGAUUGCUCAGUUGCAUUCCGACGAGCGAUUUCGUCGAGGACUAAUGUUUUGCCGUGGUGGACGAGUUGACUCGUCAACACAUAAGUAAUCUGCGUCUCAAAUCGUCGAUGGUUGGAUGCCAAUUAUCCUUUACAAUCGUUGGUUUUGUUUUAGAUGUUUUCUUCUGGAGGAAUUAUGCAAUGGUGAGAGGUGGUCUAUUCAGAUUCUUGGAGUAUGAAAAUAAUUUCGAAUACACAUUUCCAUAAAGUUCGAUAAAUGUUUGGUAAGGAAUGUUCUUUGAAGUUCUCGAAUGAAUAUAGCAUCGAUUUGGCAAAAAAUAUGAUACACUGUAAUUAAUUUUAUUUUAUUAUCAUUUUGGAAUCGACGGGAGAUUCUAUCCGAUUCAUCUUUAUCAUUCUACGUCAUCUAAAGACAUACUAGCGUGCAUAGUGUUGGUGUGGAAAGUAAGGUUUAAACUAUAGAUCCCAUCCUUUCUCGAUUAUUUGCAGUAGAAACAGAAAUGGGGAGGAAAGACGGGAAGAGACAACUGACACGCUGUCUCCAAUCCCUCUCUCUCUCUUGCUCCCUUGUCGACGCCCAACGCAUCGCAUCGUCGAUUCCCAUUUCCUUUGGCGGUGACUCGGUCGCAUCGUGGCGCCUCGAUCUUCUCAGCACCAACGUGGAGGCGAUUCGUGUGAGGCGUUGCUUUGAUCGCUUGUUUGUUUCGACUUGCGGUCGAUCGAUCUAUUGUUUGCCCUAAUUUUGUACUUGUUUCUUUUGGGUUCUUGAUGAUAUUGGAGCUUCUGUUCUUCGGCGCCUGCCGUAUAAGGGAAUUCUUCGUAUAAUUUUCGUAAUUUGUGGCGUAAUUGUUGAUUUGAGUUUGUCGUCUGCAUUGAUUUAAGUUCAGGGGUGAUACGAUCCUAGUUCGAUUUGGUGAGGCACUGGUUUUAUCCGUAUUUUUUUAGGAAGAAUGCAUUCUGAGAAUGCUGCGACAGUUUGUCCUAUCUCUAGCUUCUCUUGAUUGAUCUUUUGCCCUGUCUGUUCUAGUUGAUACGAGGUUCUUACAUAGGGUUUGGUGAUGGACGGGACUGCAAAGAGGGAGAGCCAUUUGCCAUCUGCUCGGACUCCUGUGGAAGGGGGAGUUCAGGAUGCUUGUGGUGAUGCAUGCAGCAUCCGUCUUGAACCCCUCUGCGAAAUUGAUCCUUCAACGGUGCCAGAGAAAAUCUCGGUGUCGCAUGUGUUGGCGGUCCAUCGGUUUGAAGGAUCCCACCUGGUUCAUAUGAAUUGGCCAGGAACUACUAGAGGCCGUAGAAAGGGAAAGCAGCAUUAGACUUGAUCGUGCAACGACCACCACAAUUUUUCAUCAUGCAGUGCAUGGAGAUUUCAAUUUGCAACAUAUUCUUUCUUUCUCGCCUAUUCAUGGCAAUUGCCAGUUGCUGGAAGCGAUGAAGAAUUUGAAGAGCAUAUUAUCCAGCACUUUGUUGCUGCUGCUGCCAAGGGAAGAGCACGCCACAUUGCUUGAAGAGGUCGGCUUAGAUCAGGAUCUCAUGAUCACCUGCAGUAUCUGGUUUUCUCCACAAAUUCAAUUGCAUCGUCUGUGGGCUUAACAUCUUCCUCAGCUCCAAAAGGGGAAAAUGAAAUAGCUCCUGCAACAGUUGUUGCUAACCCGUCAUCUCCAAUAAGUAAUCCAGGAGGGGAUUCUGCCGAAGUAACAAAUAUUAUGCUGGCUCAUGCCAGUAACAAAUAUUCUUACUUCAAGUCCAAGCAAACCUGCUGGCCAGUCAAAUCUUCGGCUAACCAAGAUGGACCAGAACCAUCAGACUUCCAAUUGUUCUCAGAAUCUCUGAAAUCUCGUCUGAAUGCAGUUUCACCGAGCUAAUUCAGAGCUUAUGUGCUGUUUUCAGUAUCCUGGAACUCUGUGGCGGGUAUUGGUUGUGAAGUUGGGAGACAAGUUGGUGUUGGAAUUUGGUACCAUGUCAAGAAUAAUGGAGCUCCUGGUACUUUUAUCUCACAUAGUGCUGCAGUGCACUCAGAUAUGGAACCAGGUAAC